rnacentral:rRNA from 1 species
GAAUCAACGCUGGCGGCGUGCCUCAGACAUGCAAGUCGAACGAUUAAAAGCGUCUCUUCGGAGAGUGCAUAAAGUGGCGCACGGGUGAGUAACACGUAACGUAAUCUACCUUCGAGUGGGGAAUAACGUCCGGAAACGGACGCUAAUACCGCAUAACGCAGCGGCAUCGCAAGAUGAACACGUUGUUAAAGAUUUAUCGCUUGAAGAGGAGCUUAGCGGCAGAUAGCUUGUUGGUAAGGUAACGGCUUACCAAGGCUACGAUCUGUAUCCGGUCUAAGAGGACGGUCGGACACACUGACACUGAAUAACGGGUCAGACUCCUACGGGAGGCAGCAGUCGGGAAUUUUGGGU